CUCGCUCCGCCCCGAGGUGUCUGCUCACCUAGUCCCUCCCUAAGGCCGGGGAGACUCUCGAGCCUUGACCCAAGGUCAGGAUGCAAGGUUCGGUGUAGAUUCUGCGACCCAGUGGAAGAGGACUUCACAUGGAGGUCUUUUACUUAAUCUCCUUUCACAUCCUGAGGAAGAGGUAUGGAGAGGUUUGACCCCGGAAAGAGAAAGAACAUUUGUUGGAAAGAGAGAUCAUUUAUCACUGUAGUCUUGCCAGCUUUGAACUCCAAGGAAAUCUACUAAAUGAAGAGUCAAUACUUAAUCCAGAGUUACAUGAAUGACUGCGCAGAAGGCAAAAAGAAACCUGUAGGUUGAAAAACACGAAGAAAAAUAUGUGAAGUACACAGGAACCAGCUUAUGGAGGACCCUGCAAACUGCAAAGAGCGGCAAUAAGCAGAGAUUUCAGAGAAGAGAGGCUAUGCAACAUUGGGGAAAUAUUGGCUUCUCAUCACCCCGGACUGCUCUGUGAAGGGAAUGCUCCUGGAAUAAACACCCGAAGCUACAGUGGCAAUCUUGUCUCAGGGGUUUUCUGUGUUCUUAAGGAUGUUGUAUUGGUCAGCUUUUGUUACUGUAGCAAGAAAUCUGAGACAGCUAACCUAUAAAGAAAGAAAGCUUAUUUUAACUCACAGUUUUGAAGCUCUUGGUCCAUGACCGAGCGCCCCAUUGCCUGUGGGAUUAUGGUAAGGCAACAUAUUACGGUAGGGAGCCCAUGGUAGAGGAAAGCUAUCUUCAUGACAGCUGAGACGCAAAACAUAGAGAGGAAGGACCUGGAGUGUCACUGUCUCCUGUGAGGAUGCUUCUUCUUGAAGCCCUGCCCGGUGAAGUUUCCACCACCUCCAGCAGCAGCACGGAGUGGUGCCCAAGUGUUUAACAUACGACAUUUUGUGCAAACCACAGCUUUUGGAUCCUGAAGAUUAUCCAAAAAUUAUUUUCAAAAACCAACAUUCGAUUUCCAUGUAAAAACAUAGUUUCUUAAGCUUUGAAAUGUAAUUUAAUCAUUUUAUCCUACUUUCAAAUAUAGCAAAUUUUCAAGGUAAAAGUAUGCCAUGUACAGAAACCUAACAACUUUAGUGAAUGUAAAUAUUGUAUGCCAACGAAACUGCAUGGGAAAUACUUCAAAGAAUCAACAACUGG